UUGUCCUGGCCUAUGCUUUCUCUGCUCGCCUGUGCUCAGUUUUAACAGGGGCCUCUGGCAGGACACACAGCAAUCUCUCCCUCUCAGUUUAGGAGGGCCGUCCUGAGAAUAGGUCUGGCUCUUAAAGGCACGAGAGGACAAU
ensembl:scaRNA SCARNA11 small Cajal body-specific RNA 11